AGCCCCGAGGUGUUUGUCAUAUUGGAUUGCAAAUCCGAAGGAGCGGGUUAACACCCGCCGGGGCUU
rnacentral:tRNA from 2 species